rnacentral:pre_miRNA from 1 species
AUCCCUAAUUUCCGUUUAACUUUGGAGAUGGUGGUGGGGAGUGGUCUUAACCACUCCCCACCACCAUCUCCAAAGUUAAACGUACUGUAAUUGAAUGAU